rnacentral:misc_RNA from 1 species
UCUCGGCUUAUCACCGGCAGUCCCCUUAGAGUGCCCAACUGAAUGCUGGCAACUAAGGGCGAGGGUUGCGCUCGUUGCGGGACUUAACCCAACAUCUCACGACACGAGCUGACGACAGCCAUGCAGCACCUGUCUCCGAUCCAGCCGAACUGAAGGAUACGAUCUCUGGUGCCCGCGAUCGGGAUGUCAAAGGUUGGUAAGGUUCUGCGCGUUGCUUCGAAUUAAUCCACAUAAUCCACCGCUUGUGCGGGUCCCCGUCAAUUCCUUUGAGUUUUAAUCUUGCGACCGUACUCCCCAGGCGGGAUGCUUAAAGCGUUAGCUGCGCCACUGACGAGCAAGCUCGCCAACGGCUAGCAUCCAUCGUUUACGGCGUGGACUAC